rnacentral:rRNA from 1 species
GCGAUAACCUCGGGAAACUGAGGCCAAUAGCGGAUAUAACUCUCAGGCUGGAGUGCCGAGAGUUAGAAACGUUCCGGCGCUGUAGGAUGUGGCUGCGGCCGAUUAGGUAGAUGGUGGGGUAACGGCCCACCAUGCCGAUAAUCGGUACAGGUUGUGAGAGCAAGAGCCUGGAGACGGUAUCUGAGACAAGAUACCGGGCCCUACGGGGCGCAGCAGGCGCGAAACCUUUACACUGCACGACAGUGCGAUAGGGGGACUCCGAGUGUGAGGGCAUAUAGCCCUCGCUUUUCUGUACCGUAAGGUGGUACAGGAACAAGGACUGGGCAAGACCGGUGCCAGCCGCCGCGGUAAUACCGGCAGUCCAAGUGAUGGCCGAUAUUAUUGGGCCUAAAGCGUCCGUAGCUUGCUGUGUAAGUCCAUUGGGAAAUCGACCAGCUCAACUGGUCGACGUCCGGUGGAAACUACACAGCUUGGGGCCGAGAGACUCAACGGGUACGUCCGGGGUAGGAGUGAAAUCCUGUAAUCCUGGACGGACCACCAUGGGGGAAACCACCUUGAGAGANNGGACCCGACAGUGAGGGACGAAAGCCAGGGUCUCGAACCGGAUUAGAUACCCGGGUAGUCCUGGCUGUAAACAAUGCUCGCUAGGUAUGUCACGCGCCAUGAGCACGUGAUGUGCCGUAGUGAAGACGAUAAGCGAGCCGCCUGGGAAGUACGUCCGCAAGGAUGAAACUUAAAGGAAUUGGCGGGGGAGCACCACAACCGGAGGAGCCUGCGGUUUAAUUGGACUCAACGCCGGAAAUCU